CCUGCUGUCCCAUCAGCAGUACCCUACGAGGUAGUGCAGCUAGGUAACGAACUGUGCGAAGCCCUCGGACAAUGUACCCGCAGUCGCAAGACUGGCACCGGCGCCGUGAGGCAAUAGUGCGUCUGUCAGCGCCACGACGGACAGGGCC
rfam:Kouleothrix aurantiaca strain COM-B contig_31, whole genome shotgun sequence.